GUUAGACCAACUGUGUGUUGGGCUCACGCUGUUUGCUGGCUGUGGACUGUAUUGUUGAUGGUGUUCAGCUGGUAGCGUUACCUGGGUGUUCGACGCCGCAGGGUUGCACCAGAUUGGAUACACCAAGAUUUGAUCUGGAAGCGUUGAUUUAUGCAAUGCAGUGUUUGCACUGCCUCCUGCUGUUCUUUUAGCGUUUGGUUUUUUCUUUUUUGUUAGUCCGCCCAGUUAGGAUCAUUUUUCUGCUUGCAGUACUUGUGAGGGCGGGCUAACAAUUUUUUCAUUCAUUUUGUUUGUUUUGUUUUUUGUUUAUUUUGUGGCACUUCCCUGAAUUUUUCCAUCCUGUUUGGUGUGAUCCUCAUGUUGGGCUGGCA